CGCUGGUUAUCUCAGUUGGUAGAGCGCUCCACCUGUAAUGGAGAGGUCCCGGGUUCGAUACCCGGACCAGGCG
rnacentral:tRNA from 1 species